rnacentral:tRNA from 1 species
GGACGCAUGGCGCAGUGGUAAGGCGCUCGCCUUCGAUAUAGGAUGAGUCCUCCCGUGUGGGAGCGAGAGAUCGUCGGUUCGACCCCGGCUGCGUUCA